GGAAUCCCCUUCAGAUCCCACUCAAAACCCUGAAGGACGGGACAGGAAACAAUUAACAUGGGUGGAAAUAAUUACCAAUGGACGAAUGAUGGAUUUGAGUGUCGUCUACAGGCCGUACCUCGUUCCAAACAGGCUUCCUGUAACAUGGAGCUCUGAGCUCUGAUUUCCUGUCUGUCGGGCACUCUGACAGGAAGUGGGACGCAAGACGAACCAAUAAAGACUGCCAGGAUUCACCAGCAGCCACUUAAGGACCCUCGUCAUCGCACAGCAAACACAACAAACACACACGUGCCCUCGAGAAUACGACCUGAAUGAUCACACUGGUUCCGACAGUCAUGAUUUCCAUUUGGUUUUAUUGAAAAAGAGGAAUCUUGGGAGACGCACACACAGAUCGAGAUGUUCUUUCCAGGUGAAAGGAAGCAGAGACAAUGACUAUUGUCCGAAUUUAGAAGCUGCUCGUUAAUUUCCAGGGAAUGACCGACUGCAGCUGCAGGGUCUGCAGCUGUGCUAGCAGCUCAAGUUGAGCUAAAUGCUAACAUAAUGCUAACGUAACAUUUUGAUGACACUGCAAAGGUCCAGUACUUCUUUUGCUGCUACGCUGCAACUGUCAUAUUGUUUUGUGAACAACGGUUUAUUCUUCAAAGUUGCUGACUAUGGUUUUGAUUCGAAGAUGUGUUUGAAAAGUCAAAGAACCAAAGGCACUUUUUUGUUGUUUUGUCCACCACUGUUCUCAGCACUGCAACAUGAAUGAAUAUACUAAUUUGUAGAUUGAAACUCCGAACAAACUUUCAUGGUGUCAUGGUGGAUAUAAAAUAGAUGGCUUCUAAAUUAAAAUUGUAUUUUGCAGGAUGCAUUUGGUUAUUAAGUAAAUAUAAUUUUUUGAAUGUACAAUUAGAAUUAAACUGUUUCGUGUGUCAUA